GAUAACUGUGGUAAUUCUAGAGCUAAUACAUGCAAACAGAGUUCCGACCGGAGACGGGAGGAAUGCUUUUAUUAGAUCAAAACCAAUCGGCGGCGGUCGCGCUCGCGCGGCCGUUCGCCGCUCAACCUGGUGACUCUGAAUAACUUUCCGCUGAUCGCACGGUCUCGCACCGGCGACGCAUCUUUCAAAUGUCUGCCUUAUCAACUGUCGAUGGUAGGUUCUGCGCCUACCAUGGUCGUAACGGGUAACGGGGAAUCAGGGUUCGAUUCCGGAGAGGGAGCCUGAGAAACGGCUACCACAUCCAAGGAAGGCAGCAGGCGCGCAAAUUACCCACUCCCGGCACGGGGAGGUAGUGACGAAAAAUAACGAUACGGGACUCAUCCGAGGCCCCGUAAUCGGAAUGAGUACACUUUAAAUCCUUUAACGAGGAUCAAUUGGAGGGCAAGUCUGGUGCCAGCAGCCGCGGUAAUUCCAGCUCCAAUAGCGUAUAUU
rnacentral:rRNA from 1 species